UACAGAGGUCUCAAGCGUUGUUCGGAUUCAUUGGGCGUAAAAGGGUGCGUAGGCGGCGCGGUAAGUCGGGUGUGAAAUCUCGGAGCUUAACUCCGAAACUGCAUUCGAUACUGCCGUGCUUGAGGACUGGAGAGGAGACUGGAAUUUACGGUGUAGCGGUGAAAUGCGUAGAUAUCGUAAGGAAGACCAGUGGCGAAGGCUGGGUCU
rnacentral:rRNA from 1 species